rnacentral:rRNA from 1 species
AGUGAACGCUGGCGGUAGGCCUAACACAUGCAAGUCGAACGGCAGCACAGGAGAGCUUGCUCUCUAGGUGGCGAGUGGCGGACGGGUGAGGAAUACAUCGGAAUCUGCCCAGUCGUGGGGGAUAACGUAGGGAAACUUACGCUAAUACCGCAUACGACCUUCGGGUGAAAGAGGGGGAUCGCAAGACCUCUCGCGAUUGGAUGAGCCGAUGUCGGAUUAGCUAGUUAGCGGGGUAAUGGCCCACCAAGGCGACGCUCCGUAGCUGGUCUGAGAGGAUGAUCAGCCACACUGGAACUGAGACACGGUCCAGACUCCUACGGGAGGCAGCAGUGGGGAAUAUUGGACAAUGGGCGCAAGCCUGAUCCAGCCAUACCGCGUGGGUGAAGAAGGCCUUCGGGUUGUAAAGCCCUUUUGUUGGGAAAGAAAUCUUUCAGGCUAAUACCCUGGGAGGAUGACGGUACCCAAAGAAUAAGCACCGGCUAACUUCGUG